rnacentral:rRNA from 1 species
UACGGAGGGGGCUAGCGUUGUUCGGAAUUACUGGGCGUAAAGCGCACGUAGGCGGCUUUGCAAGUUAGAGGGGAAAGCCCGGGGCUCAACUCCGGAAUUGCCUUUAAAACUGCAUCGCUAGAAUUGUGGAGAGGUAAGUGGAAUUCCGAGUGUAGAGGUGAAAUUCGUAGAUAUUCGGAAGAACACCAGUGGCGAAGGCGACUUACUGGACACAUAUUGACGCUGAGGUGCGAAAGCGUGGGGAGCAAACAGG